CUCCCCUGGCAAUGGGCAAAGAGACAUCUUGUUGUUGGUGUUGUUCUUAUCAGCCAGGGGCAGAGCAGAUGGCAGGUCUUUUUUCAUCAUAGCCUGAUGCCUGUCUUGGUGGCCAAAGCUGUUUUAUGCCUAUGACAUAUAA